CAUGCGGAAUGGGUUAGAAAGGCUGGUGGUGUGCUUUGGGGUCUGUUUGAAACGCCAGCCUGUACACGAAAUGCUUCUCACUUCUAAGCGGUUUUACCGUGGAGCUUUUGAUUCGGAGGCCCGUAAUAAGAAUUUCUCAAGAAAGUAAGGAACCGUGUCAUUUGAUCUGCGCAUAAAUGGAAAGAAGAGGAGGGCGCUUAAAAUGGUCGUGAAGCUGCUGUAAGAGCAGCUAUUAGUGAUAAACGUGAGAGUUUCCGUCAUACGGAAAGUGAUUCUGUAAGACCAUGGGGAUGUGCACUGCUUCCCAGGCAGCUAUAAAAUGCCGAGACCACUUCCUCUGAGAAUCUCUGAAACUUAAAAGUGAAUCAAAACCACACAGAAUAAACAAACUGGGAGCCUAGAAUUAGAUGAAUGGGAGGGAUCUACUCUUUGAGAAGCACCUCCUCCUUCCCCCUGACUUUUCUUUUUUUAGCUUGAUUUUAUUUUCUCUGCAUAGUUACAUGGUUAACAAGAGCACGUCUUGUCUGUCCAGUUUUAUGUGCCAGCUGAGUAGUGUAAGCAGUAAUGCCAUCAUAACAUGCUAAGUGCAUGGAGUCCACAUACAAGGGAUUGGAGUGCAUUAUAACUGUAACGGCGGUCCCUUUGGGGCAUAACAGCAAAGCAGCACGGGGAAGUCUGCAUUAAUCAUUGUUCUUGCUCUGUUUGCCUUUAUGGAUAAAUGGAUUUCAGUCUGCUACACUGGCAAUUCAGAACCUUUCUUGAGCUCUUAAUUAACACGCAACCAAGAAUAGAAUUUAAUUAAGAAAAAGGCUGCAGUAUAUUUUUGUAAUCAAAGUCAAGUGUAUAUACUGAUGAAAAUGUAUUAGAUUAAUUGUACAGUAAUCUUUUCCUUGGCACAUAUUGAGCUGCAAGAACCCAGCCUUUAAAUCUUUGCCAAUGAGAAGAAAACAUUCCUAAAACCAGGAACCAGCUAUUAUUCUAUAGCUACCUAGCUAUGUAAUUUUAUUUCUAUUACCAGAUUAUUACUGCUCUGUAACUUCCCUUAAAUUACAUGUGAAAUUUUCUAUUUCAGGCAUUUUGGCAUCAGUAUGUAGCAUUUUCAGUGACAUUUUGGGGAACUGGACAAAUUAUAUCUAUUACAUGCGAAGAGCCCCAUCCAUACAGAAGUCUCACGUAGACAUCUCUGAACUGCUUUUAGAAGAGGGCAAAACUGGUAGAGGCCUGGACUUUUACAUCUUGCUGUGUCCAAGUGUAUGGCUGAAUCCUGCAUUCCAUAGAUGAGCAAGAAUAGAGAAGGAUUUUUGUCCAAGUACUGAGAAGUUCAUAAAAGAACCCCCCGUUAAAAUAUCUCCAGUAAACCUGGAGGAGAGUGGGGAGCAACACCUUCCAGCGAAAGACCCUUCACCUUAACAUCUGUAGUUGUCCCCACGCUCGUCUGAAAUCGUUGUUUACAAAGCCACUCCGUUUCGCGAAGUCCGCCUGGAAAUCCCUGGCGCCGGCGACGCUUUCGGCAUUCGGUGUUUCAGUUCCUGCGACACAGUCUCUUUACAAACGCCGAGUCACGGUAACAGUAACUCCAUCGGUGUCCAGGUCUGCCGCGUCCCGCCCUGGGGCAGGGGGAGCUGCCGCCUCGCGGGCUCCUCGCACGGCUCCUUUCUACGUCUGCCUCCUGCGAGUUGGCGUUUUGCGGUCACUUGCAGUCCUCCCCACCAUCCGUAAGGAAAGCGAAAAAGAAACCCAAAACAUGUGUAUGUACAUUAUUAUUAUUAAUAUUAUUUUCAACCGCCACUUCUUCACAAAUCGCUGGGUGCCUUCCUCUCAGCGCAGGCCUGAGCGCGAACUCCGGGCUCGUAGCGCACACCGGCAGGGAAAGGAAAAGGAAACGAAGAGCCCCGGCGGCGGGCAGAGGGCUGGGGAAGGGGAGAGCCACGC